GACGAACGCUGGCGGCGUGCUUAACACAUGCAAGUCGAGCGGUAAGGCCCUUUCGGGGGUACACGAGCGGCGAACGGGUGAGUAACACGUGGGUGACCUGCCCUCAGCUCUGGGAUAAGCCUGGGAAACCGGGUCUAAUACCGGAUAUGACUCCAUGACGCAUGUUGUGGGGUGGAAAGCCUUGUGCGGCUGAGGAUGGGCCCGCGGCCUAUCAGCUUGUUGGUGGGGUGAUGGCCUACCAAGGCGACGACGGGUAGCCGGCCUGAGAGGGCGACCGGCACACUGGGACUGAGACACGGCCCAGACUCCUACGGGAGGCAGCAGUGGGGAAUAUUGCACAAU
rnacentral:rRNA from 1 species